GGUAGUUGGGGGACGGGGACGCUACGAUGUGAGUGUGUUUCUGCUUCAGUUGGCUUGAAAUUUUAUGUCCAUCAAACGUGACACAUAAUGGAUUUACAUACAUUCUGUUCUCCCAUUUUCACCUGAUCAUGCCUGAGGCUCGCGGUGCCAUACUUAACAGAAUGCUUGUGACUGAAAGGUCACCGGUGAGUGUUCCAAAAGGGUGAAGGACAAGCCAUUUAUUUCACCAUAACCCUAGAAGAUGUCCAGCAGAAUACACUAGCACAAUAGCAAGCCUAAUAAAUAACUACGUAAAACGGGUGCUAUAUGGCAGUUAAGAAAUGUCCACGCAUGAACAGGGCACAGCAAAUUCACUCCAGCUCCUCACCUCCACACAACCGAGGUGGUGCAUUGCUCAGCAGGUUAGGACAGUGUGUUUGCGAUCGGAUGGUUCAUUCCCGUAGUCAGCAGAGUGAUUUCAUCGUUGGGUCAUUGAGCAAGACCCUUAACCCCGAUUGCUCCAAGCAUUGGCUGACCCAGCUCUCUCAAAAAUGCAUGUUGCUUUGGAUAAAAAUAUCCGCUAAAUACGUAAAUAAAUAACUCUCAGGGCCCUGAUGGCAUCGUACCUAUAGAUGAGGGAUAUUAUUAGCCAACCUUUAACUUUACUAUUCCAGAAAUCCUUAUCUACUGGUGUGGUACCUUCUGAUUAGAAGCAUGCUAAUAUAACACCCAUAUUCAAAAAAGGGGAUAGAAUUAACCUAGGAAACUAUAGGCCAAUCAGUUUAACUUCGAUAACUGAAAAAGUAAUGGAAGCUGUAUGGUCAUGCCUUGUCUUGAUUUAGUUCCUGAGAAAGCUGAAAAGCUUUGAUGCAGUACACGAAUGUAUGUGCUGCUUUUAUGCAUUUUAAACUUAAAAACCGGUCGGUGCCGACCCUAACCUCCCAGGAAGGUUACAUCUGAGCUAUUAGUUAAGUUCCCCCCAAACAAGCUUUGAGUGGCGGAAUGGCCUCCUCUCCUUCGUAAAUUUCUUAUGUUCUUAUGUAAUGAAGAUGUAACUGACCUUGAGCCACAUAAUCAUAGCAGUCUUUAAAAUAACCAGAUUACAGGGUGUGAAUGUGGCCUUCGCACUCGAGUUGGUGACUGCGCCACUCCCAAUUAUCAAGACGGGAGCCCUCUUCAAUCUACAAGUCAAACCCCUUAAAAAUCCCCAGUGGUUUGCUAUUAAUACAAGGAACCGUGCCGCCCGCUGCAACACUUCAAACACUUCUUUAUUUUCACACUCAUUGACAGUAGCAAAGGAACAGUACACUCAAGGGGAUGGACCUGUUUGGUGUAAAGACACAGGUGUACAGAUGUAGGUAAACAGCAGCAGCAAAUGUCCUCCUAUACUCUAAACCCCCAUAAAGGAUAAAUGAAGAAAUUAAUACAGACCAAUCCUGUAACUGUGGUACUUAGAGAUAAAUAAGUCAAAUAAAAGUAAACAGACCGUUGCAACACAACACACAAGCAAGGGAAACAAAUAAAAUCAGUACAAAAGAAAUGGGUGAUCUGGACCAGAGACUUAUGAAGCUCCUGACCACUUUCCGGUGUCGCUUUCACAAUGCACUACAGAACUGGGACCUUUAUGCUAAAUAAGCACAGGAGACACAAAAGCUCAUAGAUUAAACCUCAUACAUAAUUCAAAACUGCACCACCACCCCAAAACAAGGGAGAAUGAACAAGUUGUUUCAAGUUAUUUGUUAGUUAUUGGCAGAGGUGGACAUUUCAGGUCCAGAGAGUACAAAUCCAGACCAAGAUAUUGUUUCAACCAACCAGCUGAGUACUCUGUGACUGUGACUCUUUAUACUCAACUGUCUGGAUUUGUACUUUCUGGACCUGAGAUCUCCACCUCUGGGUAUUGGGGGGGAGCAAUUGUAAUCAAAAUGAGUCACAGCCUUUUAUGUACAUACAUUUUAUUCAUACAACCCGCGACAUGUCUAUUUUUCAUUAUUUAAUCUUGCUGGCAGAUUGAUCUUCUAGUCUCGCAGAAUGACAAACUGUCACGUAUUCUGCUGAUAAUCACCGGAAAUUAGACAAAAGUAUAUUGGUUAUCGAUCAGAUUUUCUGAUGCAGAAAUAUGGAGACACAAGCAUAAAAUGUAAUUAAAUGUAACCGAAGUAAAAAAAUUAAUUUUAUCUGCUUAAUUUUUGUUUCGCCAAUUAUAUCUCUUUUCCCCACACUAUUGCAUAUCUUCCAAGCUAGUGGUGGUGCUUGUGGUCAACCAAUCAACAAGUCAUCAACUCCUCCCCUAUAGUCCGUGUUCUAACAAAAAGUACCUAGUCUGGGGUAAGUACUUAAAAAGGGUUCAGGAACUACCAUUGUGAAACUAGUUGGGCUGAGUUCCUGUGGUAUGAGCAAAACAAAAGUUCCUGGUUCUUGGAAAAAGUUCCUGGUUCUGGGAAAAAGUUACUGCAAUGUGAAAACAUCUUUUGUUUCCAGCGAAUGUAUCAACCAUUACAGAGAACCAAGUAUCUUCAAAAUGCUUAUUUCUUUUUUUUGCCUGGCAAUCUCCUGAGUGACCUGCAAAUGUUCCUGAUGUUGCUGUACCUAAUUUGGAACUGGUCCCUUUACCUCAGAAUCCAACCUUCCCAGACGUACGUCGACAGUUCACACUUUCAUGUUCCUGACCAUGAAAUGAAAUGGAUCUGUGAAGAAUCAUUUGGGGAGUCAUUUUCAGGAGGCCCGAGCUCUUCCUGAUCUUUGACCCUGUCACCAAAAACAGAGGCAGAUGUUUUCCUCUAGAAGGUUACUGGUACGCCUUGGGAAGUCGGGGUUCUCAGAGAGCCUUCGCUCACGGCUUUGCCAGAAGAAGGAUGUACGGAACACUUAAAUGAAAAAAAAACAGACAGACACUCCGGUUGGUUGAACAGGCAGAAGGCCUGGCUCAGCCGAAUAGCAUGGCAGCCUUGGUUUGUCAAAAGCAGCUUUUACGAGUCCUGCUCCUCAAGCCCACUAGAGAACUGCCGCAGCACGGACCAUGCUUGGAGAACUACUGUGUUCUAUUCUGGACUGUCUGAACAGCCGACCCCAUUCUGGAGUCCCAAUGAGGCUAUAUCCUUUUAAGGUUAUGAGCUUUGGUCUGCACACAAUGGACACACAAAGAAGAGUUUGUCUAAAUUACUCCUGCAUCACACUGUCAUUUACAGCAGCU